rnacentral:rRNA from 1 species
GGUUGAUCCUGCCAGUAGUCAUAUGCUUGUCUCAAAGAUUAAGCCAUGCAUGUCUAAGUGUAAGCAAUUUCACGGUGAAACUGCGAAUGGCUCAUUAAAUCAGUUAUGAUCUAUACGACUUCCACUUUACCAUCGGAUAACUAUGGUAAUUCUAUGGCUAAUACAACGUCUUUUGACACAUCCUUCGGGAGGUGUUGCGUCGAUUAGAUAAAAGCCAACACUGGGUUAAACCAGUACGAGGUGAAUCAUAAUCAGUGCCGUGCGAGCUCGGACAGGGUUGGAAGCCGCCGUU